GAUGAACGCUGGCGGCGUGCCUAACACAUGCAAGUCGAGCGAUUCUYUUYGGAGAAGAGCGGCGGACGGGUGAGUAACGCGUGGGUAACCUACCCUGUACACACGGAUAACAUACCGAAAGGUAUGMUAAUACGGGAUGAUAUAUAGAAAUCGCAUGAUUUUUAUAUCAAAGAUUUAUCGGUACAGGAUGGACCCGCGUMUGAUUAGCUUGUUGGCGGGGUAMCGGCCCACCAAGGCGACGAUCAGUAGCCGACCUGAGAGGGUGAUCGGCCACAUUGGAAYUGAGACACGGUCCAAACUCSUACGGGAGGCAGCAGUGGGGAAUAUUGCACAAUGGGCGCAAGCCUGAUGCAGCAACGCCGCGWGAGCGAUGAAGGCCUUCGGGUCGUAAAKCUCUGUCCUCAAGGAAGAUAAUGACGGWCUGA
rnacentral:rRNA from 1 species